rnacentral:tmRNA from 1 species
GGGUGCGUAAAGGUUUCGACUACAUAAAGAAGAUUAUAUUAGCAAGUAGUGGUUAAUCGACCGGCCACUUUAAAAGUCGAUUAAAUGCUUUAACUGGCAAUACUCAGUUAGCCCUUGCUGCUUAAUUAAAUAACAGCAACAAUCUUAGAAAGCGAUGAAGGUAGCGUUCAAAAGAUUGAUGUAAAAUCCUUCGGCUGCUAGAAUAGCCAACGGGUUCUAGCAUGAGAUUAGUUGGUACGGAAAGAUGAAUGUUGUUUGUUCUUUAAUCUUUCAUAAAACUUAUGAACAUAAUAAACUUGUAGAAGAUAUAAUUUGAAGUAUGCUAGGACGCGGGUUCGAUUCCCGCCGCAUCCAUUA